rnacentral:rRNA from 1 species
CGGGAUUACUGGGCGUAAGCGCACGCAGGCGGUCUGUUAAGUCAGAUGUGAAAUCCCCGGGCUUAACCUGGGAACUGCAUUUGAAACUGGCAGGCUUGAGUCUUGUAGAGGGGGGUAGAAUUCCAGGUGUAGCGGUGAAAUGCGUAGAGAUCUGGAGGAAUACCGGUGGCGAAGGCGGCCCCCUGGACAAAGACUGACGCUCAGGUGCGAAAGCGUGGGGAGCAAACAGGAUUAGAUACCCUGGUAGUCCACGCCGUAAACGAUGUCGACUUGGAGGUUGUUCCCUUGAGGAGUGGCUUCCGGAGCUAACGCGUUAAGUCGACCGCCUGGGGAGUACGGCCGCAAGGUUAAAACUCAAAUGAAUUGACGG